GGCUCAUAAAACCAAGUCCUACCACAUCUAUCCAUAUAUAUUCAUUAUAUGAAUCAUACACAGAUCUUUAACACUUGAAGUAUUGAAUUCAAGUUGUUAUAAUACAGCAGUUUGUCUCACAGGCAUUGUGCAAUAAACUUAGAAGUACACAUUGGGUCUCUUCUUUACUCUGUAUUUCAGUGAUCCGUAUCGUAUCUCUUUACGUCCUUUAACAGUUUUCACAGAUUUCAUGCUCUGAGUUCUUCGAAGGCCUCUCUGAGCAAACAUUUCAUCUUCUGAAUGUGUUCCUUCUACCUCUUCAUCUGUUCUAUCAUCUCCGGG
rnacentral:lncRNA from 1 species